rnacentral:rRNA from 1 species
GACGAACGCUGGCGGCGUGCUUAACACAUGCAAGUCGAACGGAAAGGCCCUGCUUUUGUGGGGUGCUCGAGUGGCGAACGGGUGAGUAACACGUGAGUAACCUGCCCUUGACUUUGGGAUAACUUCAGGAAACUGGGGCUAAUACCGGAUAGGAGCUCCUGCUGCAUGGUGGGGGUUGGAAAGUUUCGGCGGUUGGGGAUGGACUCGCGGCUUAUCAGCUUGUUGGUGGGGUAGUGGCUUACCAAGGCUUUGACGGGUAGCCGGCCUGAGAGGGUGACCGGCCACAUUGGGACUGAGAUACGGCCCAGACUCCUACGGGAGGCAGCAGUGGGGAAUAUUGCACAAUGGGCGGAAGCCUGAGGCAGCAACGCCGCGUGCGGGAUGACGGCCUUCGGGUUGUAAACCGCUUUCGCCUGUGACGAAGCGUGAGUGACGGGAAUGGGUAAAGAAGCACCGGCUAACUACGU